rnacentral:rRNA from 1 species
AUUGAACGCUGGCGGCAGGCCUAACACAUGCAAGUCGGACGGUAGCACAGAGGAGCUUGCUCCUUGGGCGACGAGUGGCGGACGGGUGAGUAAUGUCUGGGGAUCUGCCCGAUAGAGGGGGAUAACCACUGGAAACGGUGGCUAAUACCGCAUAACGUCGCAAGACCAAAGAGGGGGACCUUCGGGCCUCUCACUAUCGGAUGAAUCCAGAUGGGAUUAGCUAGUAGGCGGGGUAAUGGCCCACCUAGGCGACGAUCCCUAGCUGGUCUGAGAGGAUACCCAGCAAAACUGGAACUGAGACACGGUCCAGACUCCUACGGGAGGCAGCAGUGGGGAAUAUUGCACAAUGGGCGCAAGCCUGAUGCAGCCAUGCCGCGUGUAUGAAGAAGGCCUUCGGGUUGUAAAGUACUUUCAGCGGGGAGGAAGGCGGUGCGGUUAAUAACCGCGCCGAUUGACGUUACCCGCAGAAGAAGCACCGGCUAACUCCGUGCCAGCCGCCGCCGUAA